rnacentral:rRNA from 1 species
UACGAAGGGGGCUAGCGUUGCUCGGAAUCACUGGGCGUAAAGGGUGCGUAGGCGGGUCCUUAAGUCAGGGGUGAAAUCCUGGAGCUCAACUCCAGAACUGCCUUUGAUACUGAAGAUCUUGAGUUCGGGAGAGGUGAGUGGAACUGCGAGUGUAGAGGUGAAAUUCGUAGAUAUUCGCAAGAACACCAGUGGCGAAGGCGGCUCACUGGCCCGGUACUGACGCUGAGGUGCGAAAGCGUGGGGAGCAAACAGG